rnacentral:lncRNA from 1 species
AGUAACGCGUGCGUUUCUAUUUCCCUUGUCACUGAGCUGUAAUACUCCAGCAGAAACCCUAACGUUUUUCAGUGUCUUCUCCGAAGAGGACCAGGAAUGGAAGCAAGACCACUUUUUCAUUUGUCAAGCAGAUCCACCCAUGUUUUGCUGGCAGCCUUGUUCUGUUAGAGUAGCACCUUAUCCCCCACAUAGCAGUGUUUGACCCAGCUCCGACACUCCAGGAAAGGAAGCGGUCCCGCUGAUCUUAAAGGUGCUCGCUACCUUCUGUCUCCCUCACUGUGGUUUUAAUUUCCCCGGCCCAGGGGUGGUGGGUGACCACGUAGACCCAAAUUCCUCUUUGCCUUCAAAACUGUGCGCUCUCUGUUAAUGCUGCAUGUACAAAUGGGCACUGCAUUUGGAUUUUAUUUUUCUUUUGCCACUUGCUGAACCAUACCAGCUGCCCUCUGGGUUUGAAAGGAGAAUUAGUUACAUCCACCAUUAGUUUUAUGACUUUAUUUUUUGUGUUGUCUGAAAGAAAGUGCUCAGACAGACACUUAAUUGCAGAAACAAGUCAGCUAGUGUCCCGUACUUUGGGGACAAUAUUGCUGAUUAUUGCCUUUGAGGGCCAUUCCAAUCAAUAAAACUGGAGGCUGGGUAGAAAAUCCAGGUCCCUUUAUUUCAGGUACAUUAUAUGCCCUCCCCCCACCUCCCCUUUUUUAAAUGUGAAAACUUCUUCACUCAGAUCUUUUACUGCCUUAGAACAGUUAGACCUUAAACCAAGAAGUGGUACCUGAGUGAGUCUCCUUGGAACCCCUGCUGGCUUCCUUUGAAGGCCCAGGCUCCAUCCUUUGGAGCGGGAAGAUGGUUCACUGGAAAGCAGUAGGCAUGUGAGUGGAGGGCCAGUGGCUCUCAUUUGCUUCCUUUGUAACAAGCAGAAGGACAAUCCCCCUUCUGACUGUGGUUUAGCAAGAAAGUUACCUGGAGGAGAGGUCUGGGCCCAUUUCUCUUGGUAUCGUUUAUGAGACCAAGGACUUGAGAGUCCAGGAAGGCACGGGUAGUGUGGGGAUGAAGGAGGACCAGGCAAAGAGAAGCAAGUUUUCAUCUUUUUAUUCAUCGCAGACUGUGCCUGCUUGAAAGCAGUUUUUAAUGGAAGGGGUUGGGGCCGUUCUCUUCACCUACUGAAAUGAAAAAGGUUUGUCUUGUUUUAUAUUAAGUUCAGGGAAAGGUGAUAAAAAUAAUAGCAAAAAUUUGGUAUGCUAAGCAUUUCACAUAAGUUAUAUCAUCUUAUAUAAGCCUCUAAUGUUGAUGCUCUUAUUGUCCUAUUAUUCUCAUUUUAUUGACUAGGUAAGAGGUUUAGCAAGGUUAGUCACUUGUGUAAGGUCACAUAGCUGGUCCUAAGCACUGCAUUAUAUGGCCUCUUGACCAUGUUAUUAGGAUGUAUCAACAUCUUUAUGGAGAAUAACAUUGUUGCCAAGUAUGAACGACCUCAUUUCAAAAAUUCAUUUUCUAAGACCAAAGCAUUCACAUGCCAGGGGUGGGUUAUCUGAUUCACCAGAAUCCUCUACUGAAUAAAUGGCCCCAUUUUUUUUUUUUUCAAUCUUGCAAAUAUUGAGAAGUGGUACAUUUUUGUUUUCUGUAACCGUGUCCCCUGGCCUACUGCUUUGGAUAAUAUGCAUGUGCUGUGAUUCAAAUAAUAGAAGUAGAGACAAAGAGUUUGGGGAAAGGGGAUUACAUGGAAAAAAGGUCUUUACACUAAGCAUAACACAAAAAUUAGAAUUUGAUUUUUAACAACAACAAAAAAUACAAGGACAAGUGUUUAUCUGUCUCACAAGAAAAAUAAGGAAUCUAUAAUGCUGGUAUUGUCAGCAAAAAAUUAAGUUUCACUAUACAUGGAUAAAUAAAAGGAUUGCAGCUCACAAAACCUGAUCGGUAAUCAUUCAUGGCUGGCUAUCCUGGAAAUCAAUAUAGAUUGUUCUGUGAUCAAAAUAACUGCAGAGUUCUAAACCGGUCAAGCCUACUGGCUGUGACUGACUUUAUAGAACCACCUGGCCACACUCAGCUAUGACCUGAGCCUGUGCUUGCAUUAGUGCCAGAACAGUCUUUUCAGCCUCUCAAAGGGAAGAAUACUGAAUCAAAUAAAAUAUGGACUGAUUUGAAAAGUUGAGGGAAGUAAGUGCCUUGGGCCCCUCAUAUUGCCAGGAAGUCCUUCACUGAAUAAAUCUACAAAACAUCUCUGCUUCAAGGCCUUAGUUUUUAUCUCUUUUCCCAAAUCAUUGCACCUUUUCCUGAAUGCUGCUGCUCGUUUUGAACAACCAUAUUUUACAACUUACCAGUUGUGCUAUUUAUUAGGGCACGCAUAUCUUUGUACUGUUUCACUUAGAUAAUGUAUGGACUGUAGAGUAAUAAUUGACUUUCUUUUUUCUUUUCUUUUCAUUUAUUUUUUUGUCUUUUUAGGACCACACCUAUGGCAUAUGGAAGUUCUCGGGCUGGGGAUCGAGUCAGAGCUACAGCUGCUGGCCUACACCACAGCCAUAGCAACGGUGGGAUCUUAACCCACUGAGCAAGGCCAGGGAUUGAACCUGCAUCCUCAUAGAUACUAGUCAGGUUUCCAUCAUGGUGAUUAUAGGGGCUAUGAGAGGAAGGAGAUACAGCUGCACAGGGCAGACCCAAUAUUGGUGGAAGGUAUAGCCAUCUAAGCUUGUAAGUCAUAUGCCAUGGAUUCUCGCAAAGGAUUUCAUACCCUUAGAUACUCUAUCUUAAACCCUCAGCAGAAGUUUGCUAGGAAGCAGAAGGAAAAUACCCCAAGUGGAAAACUCAGCAGCCUAGAGUAAGGUCAAACCAUCGUCAGGAGAUGGUACAAGUUUGAGUAGAGCACAAGGUGAGGAGGGGGAGGCCAGGUGAGCAAAGAAGACAGAAUUAGUUAGAUGGCGAAGGACUUUGAAAGCGAUGCUAGAAGGAGUGGAAGCUUUUUCCUGAAAGAACUGUAGGCAGAGAAGAGAUUCAGUCAGACUCCCACGGAGGCUGAACUGAAAGGGGCUAACAGCAUAGCUAAGAUCAAGAGUAGGUAAGAAGGGAGACGGUGCAUUUGUGAACUAGGCAAGAGUGUACGUCUUGACUCCCCAGCAAAACUCUAAGCUCCUUGAGGGGAUAUUAGGCAUAAGUUGUGUUUUCUUGUAUCUUUCUUUGUUUCUAGGAUAAUUCUGUGUAUAUAGUAGAUGCCUGGAAAAUACUCAGCUUAUUAAUAGAUUAGGCAUCAGUCUUUACUAAAGAAAGUGCAUUAGCACAGUGUAGUCUGGACCCAUUAAAGAGGGUGUCUUUGGUAAAGCUCGGUCAUUUUUAAUAACUGGGAAAUCACUUUAUGAACCACUGCGUGAAUAAAAGAGUAUGUUUUAUUUUUCCCUUUUUACAGUUACACCUGCAGCAUAUGGAAGUUCCUGGGCUAGGGGUUGAAGUGGAGCUGCAGCUGCAGGCCUACACCACAGCCAUGGCAACACCAGAUCCAAGCUGCAUUUGUGACUUACACGACACCUGCAUCCUCACAGAGACAAGUCAGGUUCUUAACCCUCUGAGCCAUAAUAGGAACUCUGAAUAAAAGCGUGUCUUAAUGUUUCCCACAGUAGCCAAAUACCCAGAAGCUUGUCCAUCAAAAACUGUACCUUUUUUGCAUCUUCGCCAUCGUAGCUUUUGAAGUUUUAGAUAUUUUUAGGAUUCAUGGAGAUGAAAAAAAAAAGGAAUCUCAAAAUCACUAUUUUAAUUUGAUUUGAUUAUUAUUAUCUCUCAAUAAUAAUAAUAAUAGGUUUCAUUUAUUGAAUACUUCCUCUGUGGUCAUCACUCUUCCAAGUACUCUGGGGAAAUCUUCUCAUUUAAGUUUUUACACAAUCACUAUGAUGUAGGUUUUUAUUACCUGCCCAUUUUAAAAAUGUCAUUGGGGCACAGGUAGUUUAACCUGUCCAAGAGCAAGUAGCUAGAGGCAGAAGAACUUCCCAUCCAGGUUUUCUGACCCCAAACGAGGCACACUUCUCACUGUGACAAAAUGAAGAGAUAGGAAGAUUUAACAUAGCCCAUUUAGGGUCCAGUGAGGGGACCCUAAUAGUAUCACUGUGGUGACAUGAUUUUUAGGGACUCCAAGGAGGCUGCAGGGAGCAGAAAAAGAGAAAAGGGGGUAAAAAGGAAUAAAGGAGAGAAUGAGAAAUUAGUUCAGAACAAGAAUAUAUGCUGUCACAGUGAAGGCUAGUCAAUAUUUUUGAAUGAAAUGAAAGAUGAAAGGGAGUUCCUGUGGUGGCACAACAGAAACAAAUCCGUCUAGGAACCAUAAGUCUGCGGGAUCAAUUCCUGGCCCUGCUCAGUGGGAUAGGGAUCUGGCAUUGCCAUGAGGAGUGGUGUAGGUUGCAGAUGUGGCUUGGAUCCUGUGUUGCUGUGGCUGUGGUGUCGGUUGGCAGCUGCAGCUCAGAUUUGACCCCUAGCUUGGGAAUCUCUACAUGCAAAGAGUGCGGCCC